UGCUAACAAGUCGGCAGAAUGUGGCCCGGAGAGAAUCUCUGCUCCCUGCUUCAUUAAUCACAGGGUUGAUGCUGUCAGGAAAUGAUGAAUCUCCUCCUAAAUCCGACCAUUGAUUAAUGACUGGAUCAGGAUGGUAGGAAAAUGGGACACCAUCAACACCUGGUAGGAAGAGAGGAGUUAACACUUUCAGUCCCAAUGGAGUGAGCUAAAAAAAUGGAUUGUCACAGUUAAAUCUCUCCAUUCAACACCCAUCUAUAUAACAUGCAGGAUUCCAUUGAAAGCAGGCUCCUUGUGGCCCAAUGAACUAUCCUGGCAAACAAACUGCAAAUAAAUAAAUAAAUCUCAAGCAGCAGAUGUACGGGUGCAGGGGGAUGGCUUGCCCCGGUGAAAUUGAUGUUAUUCUGCUGCACUCAUCCUUUGUAGACUGGCAGCCUUGGACACACCUGGUAUUUCCUUCUCCCUCACCACUAGAUUAGGUAGGACAUACCUCAUGUUCUAAUCAUGCUUCCUUUUUUGGUCUUGCAUCUUUAACAUCCUCUCCUGCUUGCAGUUUUUUUCUUCCACCUUUCCAUACAUCAUUAUUAUGAAUCCUAUCCUGAAUUAAUUGAUAGUUACUACUGCCUUCCACUAAUGUACUUUCUGCCUGUUGCUACUGUACUUUUCAUAAAUUACAUCCAUAAGUGCACACUUUCAUACCAAAAUACAUGAAUGUUUUAUGAUAUGCUUUUGUUGACAUGAUAGUCAGUUCUCCUAUUUUAUAGUCUGUUUCUAUGCUGUUGAUAUGGUUAAGUUAUAUUUCUUUGAUAAUCUGUUAUUCUGUCUGUAUCGUUUUUAUAUAUGUUGUAUGCUAAAGCUUUUUCUCCCUGGGUCUUAACUGAAAACAGACUUGUAGCAGUUGGAAGUUUCUUACAACAAAUAAAUAAACAUAAAGAAACCUGCUUUCCAAAUUA